UACGUAGGGCGCAAGCGUUGUCCGGAAUUAUUGGGCGUAAAGAGCUCGUAGGUGGUUUGUCGCGUCUGCCGUGAAAGCCCGGGGCUUAACUCCGGGUCUGCGGUGGAUACGGGCAGACUAGAGGCAGGUAGGGGAGAACGGAAUUCCUGGUGUAGCGGUGAAAUGCGCAGAUAUCAGGAAGAACACCCGUGGCGAAGGCGGCUCUCUGGGACGGUACUGACGCUGAGACGCGAAAGCGUGGGGAGCGAACAGG
rnacentral:rRNA from 1 species